CACACCUGGACACAGUAUUCCAGAUGGGGAUCUUGCUGUAAAUCACAUCCAUUGAUGAAUACAAUUUAUGGAACUCGCAACACAGAGAUCAGGGUAAGUUAUAGCUCAUUAACUCUUGUUCUUGUGUGCAGUAUCCUCUCACAUUUGUGGACAACAUCCAGCCCAAAGCCCCAGCACUGCAUGAUGUGCAGGCUCUGUCUCCAGGCUGAGGGAUCCUGCAAGAGUCUGAUGGAAGCUGGGGCACCAGUGAUUAUGCAGAACAUUUGAUAUAUAUCUCCUGGGUUUGCUGGAAGACCGGUGCCGUUCACCACUGAAGAGAAGCUGUUGCAUUUUUGGGUCUUUCUGACAGAAUCUUUGAUGUUCACUGGCAGAUCUUUGCCAUUCCUGAAAGUGGCAUGAGGGAGCAGUUCAAUCAAUCAUGUAUUGUGUUAGAAGAUCCAGGAAGAAUCACAAAACAUUUGCCAAGUUCUACAUCAACUGCGAGCUGUAGGUAUCAAGUACACCAGCUAUGGUUGCUCUGUAGUCAUUACAUUGCCAUUAUCUGUUUAACACAUUAUUUAUAUUCUUCCAUGGGCAUGAGAAAACAUGGCUCCUGCCUGUAUGGCCAAACUCUUCCCUUCUCCAGUCCCGCAACCACAGCGGCUGUGCCCAUGUUCCUCACCAGAAGUCUGCUCGGUGCUGUUGCUGGGCAGGGACUGGAUCUGUUCUGGUGGUUAAACACUGCGGGUCAGUGCUUGGAACUGUUCAACUCUCUAUGUACAUAGAAGUGCACAGCCCGUAUGGCACUGCCUCUGCAUCAAGCCAGUGAUGAGAAUGGAUUCCUGCAGAACAACCUGGGUUUAAUCAUGACCUGAUGGACUGGGCUUGAAAUGUCUUGUAUGCGUUUUUGAACCUAAGUCAUACUGGAAAUCAGAGCAGAUGGUCAGCAUCUGGUUUAGAAAUGCAUCAGUCCAUGAUCAAGAACCUCCAUAAACAGAAAUGUCUCAUGAUGAGGAUGAUUUCAAGGCUGACUCAGCUUAACUUUCAGUGACCCUGAUGGGUUCCCCCAGGUCUUAGUGGGGCAUGAGUGUAGUCAGGGCAUUGUACAUGGAGGAAUUCACUUUCAGCUUUGUGUGUCUCCUGGCUUUGCUUGAAAGGAGCUGGGUUUGACCCCUCUGCUAUGCACAGCAAACAAUGUUCUUUAAGAAGAAAGAAAUUAAAAAAAAAAAAAGGCCCAAAUCUCUUCUUACAGUACAGCUCUACCCUGGGUCAUUCAAGGCAAUGUCUUUUUCCCCAGUUUCCUGCUGCAUAUCUCAACUCAUUAGGUCUGUCACAUCAGCCUCAUUUGGUCUGUUAGAUGUGCUGCAUGGCAAAGACUUGUCUCUGCACAGAGAAAGUGCUCAGGGAACUUAUUUUGGAUUGCAUAGACUUCCACACCAGGAAUCUACUAUCUGUCUGAUCCUUUCAACUGUUUAUCAUGGUGGGGUGUCAGCUCUUCCUGAGCUUCAUGAUUCCCUUACCUUUUAGCCCAAUGACUUCGGCAGCUCCUGUGUUUGCUACUUGGGGCUGGAGCUCAGAGGAGAACUGGCAAUUCCCUUUGCUUGUGACACGUUACCUGCCACUAUUCUGAGCUAUCAAUCACUUCUAUCUAGAGGAAAAAACUCCAAAUUGUUAUAUUCUUUCGGAAAGUGAGGAUAUUGCUGUGCUGUAGAGGGAGAAAAAAUGUAUCGAAUACUUGGCUAUCAAACCUCUGCACCUCUGUCUACAGCACUGUAAGCUGUAAGAUAUUGUGGGAUACCAGAAGAGCUUUAUUUUAUUCCAUGCAGAGCUUUCAUUUCAUCAUCAUAAUCAAAUCCAAGGAUUUUUAUUGUAUGCAUUACUGAACUAGAUAGUAUGUAAUUUUACAAGACUAUAACGCUGCACCUCAUACAUUUUUGAAAUCUAAGAUGGUUGUUAUUAUGAUAUUGAUGGACAUUCUUUCCUCUGAAACAUCGCUUUUCUAAAUAAUUUUCUAUAUCUGCAUCUCUUUUCCUUCCCAGUUCCAUUUCCUCUUCCUGGUGCAGCUAUAUGAGAAGACAGCAAGGUCAGGUGCAGUGAUUCUGGUGUUUUGAUAUUUGCAGAAGUACAUUUGCUUCAGAAAGCUGAAAAGGGUCUCAGCGUCAUUCCCCGCUGACUGCAGGGUUUGAGGGGAUGCAGUGGGGACAGGUGUGGAGGGCAUUAUGGGCUGCACAGUGCCAUGGAUUCCUCUCCAGCUUUUGACUCAGAGUACAUGAGGAGAGGACAGUCAACAGGACUCCAUCCAAAAGCGGUUACAACAGAACAGCUACAGUGCAGCAGGGCGGACUUUCCCCUAAUGACUUUCUGGGAACUCACUGGCACAGGGCUGCCAGAGAUGUGGCGGAGUCACCGUCCCUGGAGGAGUUCAAGAAA